UACAGAGGUCCCAAGCGUUGUUCGGAUUCACUGGGCGUAAAGGGUGCGUAGGUGGUGAGGUAAGUCGGAUGUGAAAUCUCCGAGCUCAACUCGGAAAUGGCAUUGGAAACUACCUUGCUAGAGGAUUGGAGGGGAGACUGGAAUGCUUGGUGUAGCAGUGAAAUGCGUAGAUAUCAAGCGGAACACCAGUGGCGAAGGCGAGUCUCUGGACAAUUCCUGACACUGAGGCACGAAAGCUAGGGGAGCAAACAGG
rnacentral:rRNA from 1 species